CAGAUUACCAGUCUCUACAGUACUAGUCUGGGAGGAACCCACCAGUCCCCAGAUUACCAGUCUCUACAGUACUAGUCUAGGAGGUACCCACCAUCCCCAGAUUACCAGUCUCUACCGUACUAGUCUAGAGGAACCCACCAGUCCCCAGAUUACCAGUCUCUACAGUACUAGUCUAGGAGGUACCCACCAGUCCCCAGAUUACCAGUCUCUACAGUACUAGUCUGGGAGGAACCCACCAGUCUCUACAGUACUAGUCUAGGAGGUACCCACCAGUCCCCAGAUUACCAGUCUCUACAGUACUAGUCUAGAGGAACCCACCCGUCCCCAGAUUACCAGUUUCUACAGUACUAGUCUAGGAGGUACCCACUAGUCCUCGGAUGGGGCCACAGUCUCCUGAC
ensembl:lncRNA